UCCAACAUGGGUAGGUGUGAGGGUAUCCGUCAAAAUCAGAUGUUUCAUGCAUUACGAUACUCAUUUGACUGCAACAUAUUACGCGGCAACAUAUUACAUACAGUGCAUAUGGUUCUAUGAGUUCUAAUAAUGUAAUGAUUUGACCUGCACUGUCAUGCACUCGGCUUUUCAUAACCGUAUCAAAUUAUUGAUUGCUGAUUUGGUGAACCCCAAAAAUGAGCAAAUCAAUGGAUUUAUUUUUUCAAUGAAAGAACCCAGUAUAUAGUAGUUCGAAUGAGGGCAUUUCACCAAGUCAAUACCUGGAGGCGACAGUCCGAACCCAGAGGGACAGUCACAGAUGAAGCGAUCAAGAAAAAGGUAACCGGGAUGCCACAAGGAAACACCAGGGAAGCCACCACCGCGACAACGAAACGCACCUGCGCUUUGAAUGAACUUGGUAAAACGAAACAAUAUUUACUGAAAUUACUGAAAGACAGCAAUUAGGCCUACCUUAGUUCAGCACAAUAAAAAACUGCACUUUCACA